GCUCCAGUGGGGCCUCUGAAAUCUCUGCUCACAUCCAAUUAGGAUGAUCAUUGCAAAAGAAAACCAACACAUACAAAACAGACAGCAAACAGAGCAAGGGUAAGCUAGAAUUUCAAAGAAUACAAAACAAUUUAAAUUAAACAAAGUAAAAGAGACAUACAAGCAACUGCAAUCAUAGAAGGACUACUUUAAUAGAUUAUGAGUUAUAGUUUUAUUAGAUAGCGUUAGACUUAGACUCGUCCAGACCCGGAAUGAAUAUUGAGCUAUGGCGGGUUAUGCACUUGUGGUGGCCUCUACUGCUUUGCAAAGCCAUUGCCAAUGGGUUUCACCCUACCACACACAAGGUUAGUCCGUUAUCACUCACCUUGGCCCAUAUAAAAUGGAGACAACCAAGACUAGGACCCCCUACUGCUCUUCACCACAUGAACUAAUCUUCUCUAAGUGAGAUUGAAUAGUCAUUAGAGCUUUAAGGGAAACCCCCAAGACUGAGCUACCUAUAUUCAUUCCAGAACUUAACUUAAAUCUCACAUAGAGAUGACGCUUGAAUCAUUGAAUCAACUUAUAUACAUAUACCAUCCCUUCUUUACUGAUUUUAAGUUAUUAAUCGUUCACAGUUAAUCAUAUCAUACUAAUUAAAUUCAUACAAGAUAAAUCAAAAAUCAUACAUGGAUCAACACACAAGAAAAAGAAAAAAAAAACAUAAUUAUCUUUAUAAUCUUUAAUUACCAAUACUUAAGUAAUUCAAAUGGCUUGGAGACCCUCACCAAUGGAUCCGGAAGGGUCAAAAACCCCCCAGAACGACCUAAAGAACGUUCAAAACGGAUGUCCGGAGUCCCCAAAACGUCAAAAACAUCAAAAAUACACAACCUGCCGCAGAAAAUUCGCUG
rnacentral:lncRNA from 1 species